CUCCGAUUUGUGGCGUGCGCCUUGAUGUUGUCACACAAAGCGGAGGGACGGUCCUACAGUUUUACGCCGACCCCGAACGGCGAUGGUAUUUUUAUGCGAAGUUAUUUUUAAUGGCAGAAAUACACUCGGAGGUUUGCCAUUGCCUGCCCAGGGGC